GCGGCUAUAGCUCAGUCGGUUAGAGCGUAGAGCUGAUAACUCUAAGGUCGCUGGUUCGAUUCCAGCUAGCCGCACCA
rnacentral:tRNA from 1 species